AGAGUUUGAUCCUGGCUCAGGAUCAACGCUGGCGGCGUGCAUGAGACAUGCAAGUCGAACGGACACUCAGGGCUUGCUCUGUGUGUUAGUGGCGGACGGCUGAGUAACGCGUAGGUGACCUGCCCCGAAGUGGGGAAUAACUGCCCGAAAGGGUGGCUAAUACCGCAUGUGGUGAUGCGUUCAUUCGCAUCAGUAAAGCCGCAAGGCGCUUCGGGAGGGGCCUGCGUCCGAUUAGCUCGUUGGUGGGGUAACGGCUCACCAAGGCGACGAUCGGUAGGUGGUCUGAGAGGACGAUCACCCAGACUGGGACUGAGACACGGCCCAGACUCCUACGGGAGGCAGCAGUCGGGAAUUUUGCGCAAUGGACGAAAGUCUGACGCAGCAACGCCGCGUGAGGGAUGACGGCCUUCGGGUUGUAAACCUCUUUUGUCAGGGACGAUGAUGACGGUACCUGACGAAUAAGCCACGGCUAACUACGUGCCAGCAGCCGCGGUAAUACGUAGGUGGCAAGCGUUGUCCGGAUUUACUGGGCGUAAAGAGCGCGCAGGCGGUCGUUCAAGUCGCGUGUGAAAGCCCCCGGCUCAACUGGGGAGGGUCACGCGAUACUGAUCGACUCGAAGGCAGGAGAGGGUAGUGGAAUUCCCGGUGUAGUGGUGAAAUGCGUAGAUAUCGGGAGGAACACCAGUGGCGAAGGCGACUACCUGGCCUGUUCUUGACGCUGAGGCGCGAAAGCUAGGGGAGCAAACGGGAUUAGAUACCCCGGUAGUCCUAGCCAUAAACGAUGGACACUAGGUGUUGGUGGUAUCAACCCCGCCAGUGCCGAAGCUAACGCAUUAAGUGUCCCGCCUGGGGAGUACGGCCGCAAGGCUAAAACUCAAA
rnacentral:rRNA from 1 species